GUGUCAGCAGCCGCGGUAAUACAGAGGUCCCAAGCGUUGUUCGGAUUUACUGGGCGUAAAGGGUGCGUAGGUGGUAGGGUAAGUUCAAGGUGAAAGCUUCGGGCUCAACCCGAAAAUUGCCUCGAAAACUAUCCUGCUAGAGGAUCAGAGGGGAGACUGGAAUUCUCGGUGUAGCAGUGAAAUGCGUAGAUAUCGAGAGGAACACCUGUGGCGAAGGCGAGUCUCUGGAUGAUUCCUGACACUGAGGCACGAAAGCUAGGGGAGCAAACGGGAUUAGAUACCCUCGUAGUCC
rnacentral:rRNA from 1 species